rnacentral:rRNA from 1 species
UACCAGCACCCCGAGUGGUCGGGACGAUUAUUGGGCCUAAAGCAUCCGUAGCCGGUUCUGCAAGUCCCCCGUUAAAUCCAGCUGCUCUACAGAUGGGCCGCGGAGGAUACUACAGAGCUAGGAGGCAGGAGAGGCAAGCGGUACUCAGUGGGUAGGGGUAAAAUCCGUUGAUCCAUUGAAGACCACCAGUGGCGAAGGCGGCUUGCCAGAAUGCGCUCGACGGUGAGGGAUGAAAGCUGGGGGAGCAAACCGG